UACAGAGGUCCCCAAGCGUUGUUCGGAUUUACUGGGCGUAAAGGGUGCGUAGGCGGUUGGGUAAGUCUGAUGUGAAAUCCCCGGGCCCAACCCGGGAACGGCAUUAGAAACUGCCCGGCUGGAGGGUUGGAGGGGGGACUGGAAUUCCCGGUGUAGCAGUGAAAUGCGUAGAUAUCGGGAGGAACGCCAGUGGCGAAGGCGAGUCCCUGGACAACACCUGACGCUGAGGCACGAAAGCUAGGGGAGCAAACAGGAUUAGAUACCCGUGUAGU
rnacentral:rRNA from 1 species